rnacentral:rRNA from 1 species
GAGUAAUAUAUUGGAACGUACCGAGUAAUGGGGGAUAACUUGCCGAAAGGUAAGCUAAUACCGCAUACGCUCUGAGGAGGAAAGCAGGGGACCUUCGGGCCUUGCGUUAUUCGAGCGGCCAAUAUCUGAUUAGCUAGUUGGUGGGGUAAAGGCCUACCAAGGCGACGAUCAGUAGCGGGUCUGAGAGGAUGAUCCGCCACACUGGGACUGAGACACGGCCCAGACUCCUACGGGAGGCAGCAGUGGGGAAUUUUGGACAAUGGGCGCAAGCCUGAUCCAGCCAUGCCGCGUGUCUGAAGAAGGCCUUCGGGUUGUAAAGGACUUUUGUCAGGGAAGAAAAGGUUGUGGCUAAUAUCCAUGACUGAUGACGGUACCUGAAGAAUAAGCACCGGCUAACUACGUGCCAGCAGCCGCGGUAAUACGUAGGGUGCGAGCGUUAAUCGGAAUUACUGGGCGUAAAGCGAGCGCAGACGGUUACUUAAGC